GUGCCUAAUACAUGCAAGUCGAACGAACUCUGGUAUUGAUUGGUGCUUGCAUCAUGAUUUACAUUUGAGUGAGUGGCGAACUGGUGAGUAACACGUGGGAAACCUGCCCAGAAGCGGGGGAUAACACCUGGAAACAGAUGCUAAUACCGCAUAACAACUUGGACCGCAUGGUCCGAGCUUGAAAGAUGGCUUUGGCUAUCACUUUUGGAUGGUCCCGCGGCGUAUUAGCUAGAUGGUGGGGUAACGGCUCACCAUGGCAAUGAUACGUAGCCGACCUGAGAGGGUAAUCGGCCACAUUGGGACUGAGACACGGCCCAAACUCCUACGGGAGGCAGCAGUAGGGAAUCUUCCACAAUGGACGAAAGUCUGAUGGAGCAACGCCGCGUGAGUGAAGAAGGGUUUCGGCUCGUAAAACUCUGUUGUUAAAGAAGAACAUAUCUGAGAGUAACUGUUCAGGUAUUGACGGUAUUUAACCAGAAAGCCACGGCUAACUACGUGCCAGCAGCCGCGGUAAUACGUAGGUGGCAAGCGUUGUCCGGAUUUAUUGGGCGUAAAGCGAGCGCAGGCGGUUUUUUAAGUCUGAUGUGAAAGCCUUCGGCUCAACCGAAGAAGUGCAUCGGAAACUGGGAAACUUGAGUGCAGAAGAGGACAGUGGAACUCCAUGUGUAGCGGUGAAAUGCGUAGAUAUAUGGAAGAACACCAGUGGCGAAGGCGGCUGUCUGGUCUGUAACUGACGCUGAGGCUCGAAAGUAUGGGUAGCAAACAGGAUUAGAUACCCUGGUUAUUCCGCGCGCA
rnacentral:rRNA from 2 species